rnacentral:piRNA from 1 species
UGCAGUCCAUGAGCUGACCUGUGCA